GUUCGCUGGAUAUAUCCGACAUUUCUUCUGCCGAGGUAAACACCGAAUUGGAGUCCGGCGGUGAGGACAGAGAAGCGGACAAACCCGAGAAGAAAAGGGGCUGUUCGACCGGAGGAAGCGACAAAACACUGGAAAGGCGACCUGUGUCCCCUCCUGUUUCCAGACAGUACUCGCCUUCUUCGCGUGUUGCUGCGUUCAGACUCCGCUCCUGACCUUAGUAGACCCGAUCACCAGUGACUAAAGGUAGGCUGCUGCUCCCGGGGUAAAGAGUCCAGAUCGGGUGGGAAGGCUGGAAGUCUCCAUCAGAACAGGUUCAGAACCAGAGAACCUUUCGAACCGGAUGGGGAGGCAGGAACUGAUGUUGCAGACUAAAAGUUUGCAGGUUUCUUCCUCAGGUGUGUUUCAGCAGUUUGAAGCGGCGGCUGGCCAAUAGAGGGCGCUAGGGCGCCGCCCUCGAUGAGCCACAAAACCCCCAUUAAUAAUAAAUUAAACAAACUGUCAAUAUUUGUGUGUUUGAAAUAUGGAAUGCACCCAUAUGUGCGAAACAUGAUGAAAAUCAUCUGCGCAACAUGCGGGGACAGAUCCAGCGUGGGAGUGAGGGAUGUGACGCGCCGGUCUGGGAGAGGACGGAAGCACGAGGACACCAGGACACACACGGGUGGCUCCGUGCAGCCGAUGUUCGCCAUGUUAGGCAGAGUGGACAAACUGCACAGCUGGGCGGCGGGGAGGCAGCACCGAGAGCAGGCGGAUAAAAACAGGCACGUUUUGUCCAGAACAUUCGUCUGUGUGAAGCUUCGUGGGGCUUUUCUCGAGUCUGCCGUGCGAGGGCGUGACGAGACUGACUCCUCGGGGACGCUGGCAUGUGCAGGGUACUGGUGGAUCUAGCUGCCUCCCUAGACAGGCUGGAGGAGCAGCUUCACAGCUAACUUACCGUUUUAAAGUCGGUACAAACCGAGCUGUUGGACUGCAGGCUGUCAGUGCCAAAGGGUUACAUUCUGGAGGAAGUAAAGAGGCGAGACGGCUGACAUGUCACCCCCUCACCCCCCCUCACCCCCCCUCACUGCCAGCUGGAGCUGAGCUGAGCUUCGCCAACAGUAACCAUCCGCCCACACCGUCGCCACAGCGCUUCGAGUGGACGAAGAAUCAGCAGAGAACCGUAGUCCUGAUGUCACGGAGCAACAUGGGAUUCUGUGACCUGCUCAGGGGCCCCUGGACAUGUGGACAGGAGGAGCAGGUGAUCCAACCGCCAACCUUACAGUGGACAAUAAGGCAGUUUCUCAUUAAAAAAUGGGAGCCUUUGCACGACCCGACGCAGCCGCGUGAUGGGCAUUUUCUGGUGAACAAAGAAAGCUGGGAGGAUUUCUUUGAGGUAGUCGGCUCCGUCUGCAAGAAAUCAAUCAGCAACUGAUAAGGAAACAUGAAAAAGCACUGGCCUGAGAGCAAACCAGUAACAAGGUUUUUUGGGGGGGGAGUUCUUCCUCAUACGAAUCGAGGGUCUCAGGACAGAGGGUGUGUGCUGUUCAGAUUGUGAAGCCCCUUGAGGCAAAUUUGUGAUUUGUGAUCUUGGGCUACAUGAAUAAAAUUGACUACAGAUUUAAUAAAGGGCCGUCCCCAUGUGGAAAUAAAGUUAUUCACAAUUAUUUGAGUACAAUCUGCAGGCAGCUGACGUUCAAUUCUUGGAUGUCAGAGGAUCUUUCAACACAGCCUUGCAAAUGGGCCUUGUUUGUAACUGCAUUAGCACAAGACGAUAAUGUAACUUGAAUAAAUCAUAACAGUGAUGGAUCUUCA